rnacentral:misc_RNA from 1 species
AAAGUCAACCAAUGCCGGGACGAUUGUCACAUUUCCCUUCCCGCCGUCCGAAGCCGGAAAUUGCCAUUAUUUCAGCCCCGUGGGACAAGGCCGCAUGAGCGAUCGAGACCGCAAAUCACGUUUCAAAGGCCCCAAACCGGGCGGACGCGGUGGCGACCGUGACCGGGAACGGCACGGGGAGCGUUCCGGGAAGCACCAGGGAAAGCCUCAAGGACGUCCUCAGUGGCGCGACCGCGAAGCCAGGGGACAC